CAUGCAAGUCGAACCUGCCCCCAUCUCUGGGAUAACUGCUGGAAACGGUGGCUAAUACCGGAUACUACUGCUGGUCGCAUGGCCUGGUGGUGGAAAGCUUUUGCGGUUGGGGAGGGGCUCGCGGCCUAUCAGCUGGUUGGUGGGGUGAUGGCCUACCAAGGCGGUGACGGGUAGCCGGCCUGAGAGGGCGGUCGGUCACAUUGGGACUGAGAUACGGCCCAGACUCCUACGGGAGGCAGCAGUGGGGAAUUUUGCACAAUGGGCGGAAGCCUGAUGCAGCGACGCCGCGUGAGGGAUGACGGCUUCGAGUUGUAACCUCUUUAUCCAUGACGAAGCCAGGUUGUUGCUGUUGACGUAGUGGUUGAUAAGCGCCGCUAACUACGUGCCAGCAGCCGCGGUAAGACGUAGGGCGCGAGCGUUGUCCGGAUUUAUUGGGCGUAAAGGGCUCGUAGGCGGCUCGUCGCGUCUGCCCGUGAAAGACUACAGCUUAACUGUGGUUUUGCGGUGGAUACGGGCGGGCUUGAGGCCAGUAGGGGAGAUCGGAAUUCUACGUGCAGCGGUGAAAUGCGCAGAUAUGUGGAGGAACACCGGUGGCGAAAGGCGGAUCUCUGGGCUGGUUCUGACGCUGAGGAGCGAAAGCAUGGGGAGCGAACAGGAUUAGAUACCCUGGUAGUCCAUGCUGUAAACGGUGGGCGCUAGGUGUGGGGUGGCAUUGGGUUCACUCUGUGCCGUAGCUAACGCAUUAAGCGCCCCGCCUGGGGAGUACGGCCGCAAGGCUAAAACUCAAAGGAAUUGACGGGGGYCCGCACAAGCGGCGGAGCAUGCGGAUUAAUUCGAUGCAACGCGAAGAACSUUACCUGGSUUUGACAUCACCCGGAAAGCUCCAGAGAUGGGKCCCUCUUCGGACUGGGUGACAGGUGGUGCAUGGCCUGUCGUCAGCUCGUGUCGUGAGAUGUUGGGUUAAGUCCCGCAACGAGCGCAACCCUUAUCCCGUGUUGCCAGCAAGUAGUGUUGGGGACUCGCGGGAGACUGCCGGGGUUAACUCGGAGGAAGGUGGGGAUGAGGUCAAGUCAUCAUGCCCCUUAUGUCCAGGGCUUCACGCAUGCUACAUUGGCCGGUACAGCGGGUUGCGAUACCGUGAGGUGGAGCGAAUCUCUGUAAAGCCGGUCUUGGUUCGGAUUCGAGUCUGCAACUCGGCUCGAUGAAGGUGGAGUCGCUAGUAAUCGCAGAUCAGCAACGCUGCGGUGAAUGCGUUCCCGGGCCUUGUACACACCGCCCGUCACGUCAUGAAAGUUGGCAACACCCGAAGCCUGCGGCCCAACCGGUUUUCCGGAGGGAGUGGUCGAA
rnacentral:rRNA from 1 species